GCUAACAAUACUUUGAAUUUGCAAGAUGUUCAAGGUCUUGUUACUUGGGUUCUUGCCGAUGGAUUCAUGCCUUCCUGGGUUUUUAUUAACCUGUGUAUCCGAUGGGAUGCAGAAAAUAGACGCACUCCUGACGUGCAAGGUGAAGAGAAAGAGAAAUGUGAUCGAUUCAGUGAAGGAAAUAAGCCAGCCUGCUGAACAAUGUGCAAAAUCUAUCUUUGA